CCAGCCUCACCGCGGCUCGAAAUGGACCCCAACUACUCCUGCGCCACUGAUGUCUCCUGCGCCUGCGCCGGCUCCUGCAAAUGCAAAGAGUGCAAAUGCACCUCCUGCAAGAAGAGCUGCUGCUCCUGCUGCCCCGUGGGCUGUGCCAAGUGUGCCCAGGGCUGCAUCUGCAAAGGGGCGUUGGAGAAGUGCAGCUGCUGUGCCUGAUGUGGGGACAGCUCUGCUCCCAGAAGUAAAUAGAGCAAACUUUACAACCUGGAUUUUUUUUUUUUUAAUACAACCCUGAGUCAUUUUCUGCAUGUCUUUUUAUAUUAAAUAUGUGAAUGGCAAUAAAAGAAUUUUGACUUGAAAAAAAAAA